UACAGAGGUCCCAAGCGUUGUUCGGAUUCAUUGGGCGUAAAGGGUGCGUAGGUGGUGAUGCAAGUCUGGUGUGAAAUCUCGGAGCUCAACUCCGAAAUUGCACCGGAUACUGCGUGACUCGAGGGACUGUAGAGGAGAUCGGAAUUCACGGUGUAGCAGUGAAAUGCGUAGAUAUCGUGAGGAAGACAGUUGCGAAGGCGGAUCUCUGGGCAGUUCCUGACACUGAGGCACGAAGGCCAGGGGAGCAAACGGGG
rnacentral:rRNA from 1 species